rnacentral:piRNA from 1 species
GCUCUUAACAGAGAGAUCCGAAUGGAUCUUCUAG